AGUGAACGCUGGCGGUAGGCCUAACACAUGCAAGUCGAACGGCAGCACAGUAAGAGCUUGCUCUUACGGGUGGCGAGUGGCGGACGGGUGAGGAAUACAUCGGAAUCUACUUUUUCGUGGGGGAUAACGUAGGGAAACUUACGCUAAUACCGCAUACGACCUACGGGUGAAAGCAGUGGAUCUUCGGACCUUGCGCGAUUGAAUGAGCCGAUGUCGGAUUAGCUAGUUGGCGGGGUAAAGGCCCACCUAGGCGACGAUCCGUAGCUGGUCUGAGAGGAUGAUCAGCCACACUGGAACUGAGACACGGUCCAGACUCCUACGGGAGGCAGCAGUGGGGAAUAUUGGACAAUGGGCGCAAGCCUGAUCCAGCCAUACCGCGUGGGUGAAGAAGGCCUUCGGGUUGUAAAGCCCUUUUGUUGGGAAAGAAAAGCAGCAGGUUAAUACCCCGCUGUUCUGACGGUACCCAAAGAAUAAGCACCGGCUAACUUCGUG
rnacentral:rRNA from 1 species